rnacentral:rRNA from 1 species
CCUACGGGCGGCAGCAGUGAGGAAUAUUGGUCAAUGGGCGUAAGCCUGAACCAGCCAAGUCGCGUGAGGGAUGAAGGUUCUAUGGAUCGUAAACCUCUUUUAUAAGGGAAUAAAGUGCGGGACGUGUCCCGUUUUGUAUGUACCUUAUUAAUAAGGAUCGGCUAACUCCGUGCCAGCAGCCGCGGUAAUACGGAGGAUCCGAGCGUUAUCCGGAUUUAUUGGGUUUAAAGGGUUAGUAGGCGGCCUUUUAAGUCAGCGGGGAAAGUCUGUGGCUCAACCAUAGAAUUGACGUUGAAACUGGGAGGCUUGAGUAUGUUUGAGGCAGGCGGAAUGCGUGGUGUAGCGGUGAAAUGCUUAGAUAUCACGCAGAACCCCGAUUGCGAAGGCAGCCUGCCAAGCCAUGACUGACGCUGAUGCACGAAAGCGUGGGGAUCAAACAGGAUUAGAUACCCCUGUAGUC